UUUUUAUUUUUACAAUUAGAGCAAGGACAUCUUAACAUACCUGUUUUUGCUUCCGGUUGUCGGUGAACUAACCCCAUGAAUUCGGUUAUACCUUGUUGGUAUUCUUCCGUAAGCAAUCUCGUGUUCGGAUCCAAAUGAGGUCGAUCGAUCCAAGAACGAAAAUAAUUUGAAGAAGACAUGUUUUUUAUGAAUCAAAUUCGUGUGUAAAGAAAGUGAGAGGGAAGAUGAAGAUAUGGUGUGAAUGAAGAGGAAGAGGGGUGCUUGUAUUUAUAGUUGAAAUCCUGCCGACGGUCCGAAGAAAUUCCGACGGAAUUCCGAUGCAAACGGCUAGUUCGUCGGAAUUUCCUCGGAAUUUUUAAAAUCCCCCCAACGGCUCUCCAACGGCUCUCUAACGUUUAUAAUAUUUCCUCGGAAUUCAUCGGUUUUUUCCGAGGAAUACUAGUUUCCUCGGUAUUCCGUCGGAAUAUUCCGACGAAAUGAAUUUUCCUCGGAAUUCCGUCGGAAUAUUCCGACGGAAUUCCGAGGAAGAAAAAUUUUGUGUUUCCUCGGAAUUGCCUCGGAAAUGCCUCGGUAUAUUCCGAGGAAUUCAUUUUCCGUCGGAACGUCCGUCAGAAUACCGCUGUUUUCUUGUAGUGGUGGUACCAGAUCCAUCAGUAAUUUAGUUCUGAAAUCAUCACAGAUUUGAUAAAAAUGAAAUAUCUGUCAAAGAAAGUACAUGGUUCAACAAGUUAAUCGAUCGGAUAGGUCUUGAAGGCGUCAUCCUUGUUGGAGACACCAACAAGAAGGUCUGCCACACCCCAACCUUGAAACACGGUACUCAUACACUUAAACUAGACUUCAUCUCGAUAAUAAUGUAGCUGUGAAAUAUCACACUGUGACCGCGUCAAAUGGCUUCGAUAAUCAUGGCCUGGAUGUUUCCAGUGCACUCCACCGUAUGUUGUCUCUGGGAUCAUUUGUCAAAAGUCACGCUUUCUAGAAGUUAUUCUUCUUCACGUCUCCCAUUCCCAGCUUCUUGAAUCGUUCCUUGGCUGGCCUUGUAAUCCUCUUCUUGUACUUGUAAAGAGUGGAAGGUCUUUGGGCCACAAGAGUAUCAGAAAUCAUAGAGAAGCAGGAACAAACCUGAGUUGUGUAAACCAUGUGUGAUGACAAAGAAAGACCCUCAAGCUUUUGCUGUGAAAUAUACGCAUGUAGCAAAAUCUUGGCAUUGGCCUCCUCCAGAGUUUCAAUGAACAGAAUCGGGACACAAUCCAACACUUUUGCCAGUUCCAUCUUCUCAUCUUGUCGAACAGACACAUACUCAGGAUACAAUCCAAAAUAGCUUUCCAAUUUUAUUUUAAUUACAUACUAGAUAUUGACAAAGCGCGGGAUUUGUUUUCUGUUAAGUUAACAUAUCAAAACAUGUAUAUUACGAUUGUAUUAGGAAAUAAAAUUGUAAGAUGUGUAAUUAUGUUUCAAGAUUCAUAGUAGACAAAACUGUUCAUAUAUUUGACUUAAGGCCUGGUGUAACCGCAACGGGUUAUGGUUGCGGUUGGACGGAUGGUUGCGGUUUUACGCGAUUUUCAGGAACUUUAUACGAUUGGUACUACGGUUAGAACUUGG
rnacentral:lncRNA from 1 species